rnacentral:rRNA from 1 species
AACGAACGCUGGCGGCAGGCCUAACACAUGCAAGUCGAACGCACCGCAAGGUGAGCGGCGCACGGGUGAGUAACACGUGGGAAUGUACCCUUUGGUUCGGAAUAACGUCUGGAAACGGACGCUAAUACCGGAUGAGCCCUGUGGGGGAAAGAUUUAUCGCCAAAGGAGCAGCCCGCGUCUGAUUAGCUAGUUGGUGGGGUAAAGGCCUACCAAGGCGACGAUCAGUAGCUGGUCUGAGAGGAUGAUCAGCCACACUGGGACUGAGACACGGCCCAGACUCCUACGGGAGGCAGCAGUGGGGAAUAUUGGACAAUGGGCGAAAGCCUGAUCCAGCCAUGCCGCGUGAGUGAUGAAGGCCUUCGGGUUGUAAAGCUCUUUCGCACGCGACGAUGAUGACGGUAGCGUGAGAAGAAGCCCCGGCUAACUUCGUGCCAGCCGCCGCGGUAAGAC